rnacentral:rRNA from 1 species
UACGUAGGGUGCAAGCGUUAAUCGGAAUUACUGGGCGUAAAGCGUGCGCAGGCGGUUGUGCAAGACCGAUGUGAAAUCCCCGGGCUUAACCUGGGAAUGGCAUUGGUGACUGCACGGCUAGAGUGUGUCAGAGGGGGGUAGAAGUUCCACGUGUAGCAGUGAAAUGCGUAGAGAUGUGGAGGAAUACCGAUGGCGAAGGCAGCCCCCUGGGAUAACACUGACGCCUCAUGCACGAAAGCGUGGGGAGCAAACAGG